GAAACAUCCACACCACACGCGGUUUCACCUGCCACACGGCAGCCCGGGUGCCCGGAUCACUGUGUGUGGAGACUCAGGCUCACCGGCAAACCUCUUCCGGUUCCGGUCAGGGUGCUGCCUCCCUAUCCACUGGGAGUCCUUUUGCGUUUCAGAUGCUCCCAGGCUCUCCCGCAGUUUAAAGACUUAACUCAGCGGCUUUCAGGGCCUGUGGUUGAGGGACUCCGAAAGAACUGUUGCUGGUGGACCGGUUCAGGGUCUUGACUUCGCCACACAAAAGAACUUGAGAGCACGUCCAAAGUAAAGGUAAGCAAGGGAGUUGAUCGCACCUAAGACCUCUAGUACAGUGUUCAAUGGAACUGGUGAGAAAAGACGUCCUUGCUGUGUUCCUGAUAUGAAGAGGAAAGCAGUCCUUCUCCAUUAAGUAAAGUAUAAACCUUAGGUUUUUCCUGCACAAGACUCUGUGUUUUCCAAAAUCACAGUUAUCUGUUUCAUAACACCAUACAUCAUUUGUGAGAUCUUUACACUUCCUUUGAAACCAAUUUGUCUUGUCCUUUUAGAUGCUGACAACAUGAGCCUCCCGUGGUCGGAACGGGCUUGUGAAGGCGGUGCUGGGGUGCACCAGGGCAGCAGCUACAGGUGAGUAGGCGGGGACAUUUGAAAGGGGCUAAUUUUCUCGUGGUCCUUUAUAGGGGGAUGUUUGUAUGUUAAGACAGCUCUUUCUUCCCUAUACAACUCUGUAGCUGGGGUUGAGUGCAUGUAAACUCAGCUAACAAAAUCUUCUUGCAUUCGGUUUGAGGUCUAUUGCUCUGCAGAAUCCCCAGGCCUGCCACUUUCCUGGCACAUCUUCUCAGCCCUUAGGCUCAGGCUGCAGUCUUUGAUUAGUGGUGCAUGUAUGUGCGACGGGGACAGUUGUCACUGAAAUUACAGACAGCUGAAUGGUGAUUUGAAUUGCAUGAGCAUUAAGGCCU
rnacentral:lncRNA from 1 species